AUUGAACGCUGGCGGCAUGCCUUACACAUGCAAGCCGAACGGUAACAGGUUAAGCUGACGAGUGGCGAACGGGUGAGUAAUGCAUCGGAACGUGCCCGGUCGUGGGGGAUAACGCAGCGAAAGCUGCGCUAAUACCGCAUACGAUCUGAGGAUGAAAGCGGGGGACCGUAAGGCCUCGCGCGAUCGGAGCGGCCGAUGUCAGAUUAGGUAGUUGGUGGGGUAAAGGCUCACCAAGCCAACGAUCUGUAGCUGGUCUGAGAGGACGACCAGCCACACUGGGACUGAGACACGGCCCAGACUCCUACGGGAGGCAGCAGUGGGGAAUUUUGGACAAUGGGCGAAAGCCUGAUCCAGCAAUGCCGCGUGCAGGAAGAAGGCCUUCGGGUUGUAAACUGCUUUUGUACGGAGCGAAAAGGUCUCCUCUAAUACAGGGGGCUCAUGACGGUACCGUAAGAAUAAGCACCGGCUAACUACGUGCCAGCCGCCGCGGUAA
rnacentral:rRNA from 1 species